rnacentral:misc_RNA from 1 species
UGUUGAACGCAUGUGCUGGAGAAUAGCAGAAAAAAAGAACCAAACAGUGAUUUGGGUCAAGCCUCUAAACAACGACUGUUACAUGGAAAGACCAGCUGGUACUCAACCACCACUUUGUCGGUCCAAUGAUGAUCCUGAUGCUGUUUGGGGUGUGAACAUGGAAGCAUGCAUAACACCUUAUUCUGAUCAUGACCACAAAGUUGGCGGAAGCGGGCUGGCUCCUUGGCCAGCAAGGCUAUCCACUCCUCCUCCUCGUCUUGCUGAUUUUGGGUAUUCAAGUGAAAUGUUUGAGAAGGACAUGGAGCUUUGGCAGCGAAGAGUUGAACAUUACUGGAAUAUUUUAAGUUCAAAGAUUUCUUCAGACACACUGAGAAAUAUCAUGGACAUGAAGG